rnacentral:lncRNA from 1 species
ACUAUCCAAAAAAGAUAAAAUUUGAUGAAAAUAUCAAAAUUAUCCUUCAGUAGCAAGUUACCGUGUAAUUCAAUCCUCCAGUCAUACAACAUCCUAAACGAGCAAUGGAUAUGAAAUCAUAUCAAAAUUAAAUAUUUAUCUAUAUGUAUCUCAAUCAGAAAGUGAUGAUUUAGUUGAUCAUAUAUUAGAAACUUCUUUCUAAUUAUCAUUCUGCUUUGGUCAAAGACUUUCCGAAUCAUCGUCCUGUGAGAUCACAUAGGAUGUUCGCUUCCUUUAUUAGGAGUGACUGAUCCCUUAUUGACCACUCAUAACUUUUAUGCAUACUUCACUAUAUCCAAAACACCCCAC